UCAAAUGUUUGGCCCAUAAAGAGUAGCACCA
rnacentral:piRNA from 1 species